AUGAAAACACAUGAGCGUGCUGCCAACUUGGCUCUUGCUGGUUUGAGCUUGGCACCGCUCGUGAUCAAUGUUAACCCAAAUUUGAAUGUGAUACUGACAGCAUGUCUUACUGUCUAUGUGGGCUGUUACCGUUCCGUCAAGUCAACUCCACCCGCUGAGACAAUGUCCAAAGAGCAUGCUAUGCGUUUCCCUUUGGUUGGGAGUGCUAUGCUUUUGUCGCUAUUCCUUCUGUUCAAGUUUCUCUCCAAGGACCUGGUCAAUACUGUUCUCACUGCCUACUUUUUCAUUCUUGGCAUUGCUGCGCUCUGUGCAACGUUGCUCCCUACUGUCAAACGUUUUCUUCCAGAAGGAUGGAAUGAUAAUGCCAUUGUCUGGCGUGCUCCAUAUUUCCACUCACUGUCGGUGGAGUUUACCAAGUCUCAAGUUGUCGCUUCAGUCCCUGGAUUUUUCUUCUGCGUAUGGUAUGCCAUGAAGAAGCAUUGGCUAGCAAACAAUGUUUUGGGACUUGCUUUCUGCAUUCAGGGAAUUGAGAUGUUAUCACUAGGAUCAUUCAAAACUGGUGGUAUUCUCUUGGCUGGACUUUUUGUGUAUGACAUUUUCUGGGUUUUCUUCACUCCAGUUAUGGUCAGUGUUGCUAAAUCAUUUGAUGCUCCAAUAAAGCUUCUAUUUCCCACCGGGGAUGCCGCACGCCCGUUCUCUAUGCUUGGUCUUGGUGAUAUUGUUAUACCUGGUAUAUUUGUUGCACUUGCACUCCGUUUCGAUGUCUCAAGAAACAUUAAGAACCGUUACUUCAAUAGUGCAUUUUUGGGAUACACUGCGGGUAUGACAGUAACAAUAGUUGUGAUGAACUGGUUUCAAGCUGCACAGCCUGCUCUGCUAUACAUCGUUCCUGGCGUGACUGGUUUUGUGGCUGUCCACUCUUUGUGGAAUGGUGAAGUAAAGCCGCUACUGGAGUUCACCGAGACGCAGCCUGAAGAGGAGGGAGCCGCCGAGGAAGAAGAUGAAGAUUCCAGUCAGAGCAAAAAGGUGGACUAG
rnacentral:rRNA from 1 species